rnacentral:pre_miRNA from 1 species
AAAGUACUCCCUCCGUCCCAAAAUUCUUGUCUUAGAUUUGUCUAGAUACAGAUGUAUCAAGUCACAUUUUAGUAUUAGAUACAUCCGUAUCUAGAUAAAUCUAAGACAAGAAAUUUGGGACAGAGGGAGUAGUUG